ACGAGAUUCUUUGAAUCUAGUGGCGGACGGGUGAGUAACGCGUAGGUACCUACCUUUGGGAGAGGGAUACCAAUUGGAAACGAUUGUUAAUACCUCGUAUGCUGAGAAGUAAAAGGCUGGCUGCUUGGCAGCCAGUUGCCCAAAGACGGGCUUGCGUCUGAUUACCUUUUGGCUAGUUGGCUGGGGCAACGGCCCAGCCAAGGUCAUGAUCAGUAGCCGGUCUGAGAGGACGAUCGGCCACACUGGGACUGAGACACGGCCCAGACUCCUACGGGAGGCAGCAGUGAGGAAUCUUCCGCAAUGGGCGAAAGCCUGACGGAGCAAUGCCGCGUGGGGGAAGAAGGCCCGUGGGUCGUAAACCUCUUUUCUCGGAGAAGAAAACAAUGACGGUAUUCGAGGAACAAGCAUCGGCUAACUCUGUGCCAGCAGCCGCG
rnacentral:rRNA from 1 species